CUGACAGCCCCCCAGGCUCCGGGCCUCCAUUGAUCCACUGUGCACACACAGCCCAGACUAGGGUAGUGUGUGCUUCUCUCCAACACCAGGGUCUCAGGCUGGACGUGGGGGAUCAGCUCUGGGGGAGUCAGGAGAGCAGCUUGCAUACUUAGCCAGUCCUUCCCUUCU
rnacentral:sRNA from 1 species